rnacentral:rRNA from 1 species
GACGGUAGGGGGCAAGCGUUGUUCGGAAUUAUUGGGCGUAAAGCGCUCGUAGGCGGGACUGGAAGUCCGUGUUGAAAGACCUCGGCUCAACUGAGGGACCGGCUCGGAUACUCUAGUUCUUGAGGCAAUCAGAGGGUGAUGGAAUUCCCGGUGUAGCGGUGAAAUGCGUAGAUAUCAGCAGAAUACCCGUGGCGAAGGCGGCCCCUGGGCCGAACUGACGCUGAGGCGCGAAGGCUAGGGAGCGAACGGG